ACAAGGUCUCCUGGAGAGGGCAUCAGCAUUGCCGUGGGAUUUCCCAGCUCUAUGUUCUACUUUGAAUUCAUACUGGGACAGAAACUCAAACCAACGGGCAAUUUGGCCUUCAGGAUUUUUAAAGUUUAGGAGCCAGGACAAAUUAGAGAGGACUUUUUCCAUCAGUCUUUCAAAAGUGGCACCUGCGUUACACAGACCAAAGGGCAUACUGAGGAAUUGCCAAUGACCCCCACCAGAUUGGGUGAUAUCUGAUGCCUUGGAUGAAGAAGGAGGACUUGGGAUGGCUGUAGCCACCUUGUCACUCUCCAAGCCGUUAGGUGAAGAUGGACGGGACUUAAAAGUUACUUCAAAACUUUCUUCAGCUU